rnacentral:lncRNA from 1 species
AUGUUUGCCCAACUUUUCUGAGCUUUCUCCCGCCUCUCUUUUGGUCUCUCUCUUGGUUUGUUUUCUCUGGAUUAUGAAGUCACGAUUUUUUGUUCUCACUCAGAUUAAUACUCAUGGUCUGUAGUAUCUUCAUCUCAACAACUUCAUAUUAUCAGCAACAAUGUGGAUACUCGAAGCUGUUUUCAAAAGGGAGAUUUUGAGGUUUUAAAUGAAUGACUUGCAAAUACUAAU